rnacentral:lncRNA from 1 species
CUUUAAGCAAGUCAUAAAAACUUCCCGAGCUUUGGUGUUUCCAUCUGUAAAAAUUUAUGUCGUGGGAUCUUCAAUCUGUGGCUGCAAGGAGUAAUGAAGAGGUCUCCUGGUUAACAUGGCAAUGUGUGCCUGUGGAAGACACUCCUGCUGCCAGAGGUGGACAUGGCUGGGCGAACCACAUGCAGGGGCUUGGGGCUGAUACUCCACAUGGUGAGAGCAUGAACCCUAGGGAAAGGAAGGAUCCAGGUGGGUUUCACAUACGUUUCCUUCUUGUGUUCUGUGUUUUGUAGAAAUUGUCUGUCAAAAUGUUUCUUUCUGCUUAAGACAGAACAGAAACAGAGACUGCGCCUUAAUUUUGUAUGCAAAAACUUCCAUGGAGUAC